CCCUUCUUCCCUGAAACAUUUAUAUGAUCUUCAGAUGAGAGGUGCUGUCUUGAAGCCAGGAGAAAGGAGCAUAUUCAUCUCUGAAGACACAGAGACACGAGGCAUGUCACAAAACAGAAAGAAUAUCAAGUAAAUCUUGUUCAUCACUUGUGCUCAGUAAAGUUGAAGAAAAAUGAUUGAGACAUCAAAGGACAAUAAACUAUCAGAUGAGAAAUGCAGGCUGGAGACAACAGACAAGUGGAGAUUUCUCUACUGGAUACGAGUCAGGCUGUCAGACCCACCUUCCUUCCACCAGAUGACCUUUGAUCACCUGGCCACCACCUCACAACUGUCAUCCUGGUUUUCAUCAGUUCUAAGCAAGCAGAGGUCUACCUCUAAAAAGGAACCCAGCUCCUUGUCUGACUAG
rnacentral:lncRNA from 1 species